ensembl:snoRNA SNORA62 Small nucleolar RNA SNORA62/SNORA6 family
AGUGUACAUUGUUAGAGCUUGUAGUUGAGGCCACAAGCUGGCCAAUGAAAUCAGAAGUGUAGGAAGUGUGUGAUACAAGUGACAAGGUUUUGCUCAUACUCCACUCUGGCCCAGUGAGUGGUGUUUGAUAGUAAAUUGUGCUUCAAGU